GCAAAACCCGUAUUACAGCUAAAUAAAGUAAAGCAAAGAUAUGGUGCUGGGCUGCACAGUGACAUAUCUGUUUACUGGCACAAGGUAGACAGAGCUCAGGGAUGUAGAUAACUAGGCAGAAUCACCUUACUAACCGAAGUAUUGUUGUCAAGACUAAAUCCACUCCACCAAAUCAAGACACUGUGCUUUCUCCAUGUGGCAAUUUAAAUGUGUUCCAACAACCAACAGAAAAGCAUUCUUUCUUUCUUGCCGCCAUCAUUGUAUUAUCCACACACCUGAAAUCAGUUUUCGAGUCAAGGCUGGCUGUGCACAGGGAGAAUCCGAUUAAGAUCAUGCCCAGCCACCACUCACCAUCUGGAUGCCCAGAAGACAAAUGGCAUCGGUAUCGAGAGGGGCUACAUGGCGAAACACAAGCCCAGGCAGCACUACUGUGGGGCUGGCAGGCAGGAGAGCGGGAGUGGGAAGCAGGGACCUUCCACCCAGCACCUUGCAGCUGACAGGCAGAACUCUUACUACGUCUCAGGUGAGCCGGCAGAAUAUACCAGGAUCCCAAGGUGGGGGCGGGAGGGAGGCAGGCAGGCAGGAGGACAGUCCAAAGAAACUCCAGACAAAUAUCUUCCUUUAAGCCUGGGAGAAAACUACCCCCUGAGA
rnacentral:lncRNA from 10 species